rnacentral:rRNA from 1 species
UAGUUUGAUCCUGGCUCAGAAUGAACGCUGGCGGCGUGCUUAACACAUGCAAGUCGAACGAGGCGGAGGGGGCAACCUCUCCAGUCGAGUGGCGGACGGGUGAGUAACACGUGGGUAACCUUCCCGGAUGUGCGGAAUACCUCGGGGAAACUCGAGCUAAUACCGCAUGACAUCUUUGGGACGAAAGUCCUGACGAUCAAAGCGGGGUCGCAAGAUCUCGCGCUUCCGGAUGGGCCCGCGCCCGAUUAGCUAGUUGGUGAGGUAACGGCUCACCAAGGCGACGAUCGGUAGCCGGCCUGAGAGGGUGAUCGGCCACACCGGAACUGAGACACGGUCCGGACUCCUACGGGAGGCAGCAGUGGGGAAUCUUGCGCAAUGGGCGAAAGCCUGACGCAGCAACGCCGCGUGGAGGAUGAAGGCCCUUGGGUUGUAAACUCCUGUCGGUUGGGAAGAAAUCGUUCGGGGCAAAUACCCUCGGACGUUGACUGUACCAGCAAAGGAAGCCCCGGCUAACUCUGUGCCAGCAGCCGCAGUAAUACAGAGGGGGCUAGCGUUAUUCGGAAUUAUUGGGCGUAAAGGGCGCGUAGGCGGCCCUGCGUGUCUUCCGUGAAAUCCCUCGGCUUAACCGAGGACGUGCGGAAGAAACUGCGGGGCUCGAGUCCGGAAGAGGCGAGUGGAAUUCCUGGUGUAGCGGUGAAAUGCGCAGCUAUCAGGAGGAACACCUACGGCGAAGGCAGCUCGCUGGGACGGUACUGA